GAUGAAGAACGCACCGAAAUGCGAUACGUAAUGUGAAUUGCAGAAUUCAGUGAAUCAUCGAAUCUUUGAACGCAUAUUGCGCUCUCUGGUAUUCCGGAGAGCAUGCUUGUUUGAGUAUCAGUAAACACCUCAACUUCCAUAUCUUUUUUGAAAUGGGAGUUGGACUUGAGUGAUCCCAACGCUUUUCCUCACCGAAAAGUGGCGGGUUACUUGAAAUGCAGGUGCAGCUGGACUUUUCUCUGAGCUAUAAGCAUAUCUAUUUAGUCUGCCUAAAAACAGAUUAUUACCUUUGCUGCAGCUAACAUAAAGGAGAUUAGUUCUUGUGCUGACUGAUGCAGGAUUCACAAAGACAGGCUUCGGCCGACUUUGUAAACUCGAUCUCAAAUCAAGUAAGACUACCCGCUGAACUUAAGCAUAUCAAUAAGCGGAGGA
rnacentral:misc_RNA from 1 species